rnacentral:rRNA from 1 species
GCAAGUCGAGCGCAGUCCUUCGGGACCGAGCGGCGGACGGGUUAGUAACGCGUGGGAACAUACCCUUUUCUAUGGAAUAGCCUUUGGAAACGAAGAGUAAUACCAUAUACGCCCUUCGGGGGAAAGAUUUAUCGGUGAAGGAUUGGCCCGCGUUAGAUUAGAUAGUUGGUGGGGUAAUGGCCUACCAAGUCUACGAUCUAUAGCUGGUUUUAGAGGAUGAUC